rnacentral:lncRNA from 1 species
UUUUUUUUUUUUUUUCCAGCCCUGCCCACUCUGCUGAAUAUCUGUGGGCGUCUCCCUGGCGGGUUGCUUUCUCCGCCGGAGAAUUUAGGGAAUCUUGUCCAGGCUUUCAGGGCUGGUUGGAAUGCACCCUUUUCUCAGUGCCAGCCCUUGAUAGGCGCGAACUAGUUGCACUUGCUGGAUGAGUUAGGGAAAGCCUUCUUAAAGAAGAAAUGCAUGGGUCAGCCGGGAGGAGUUUUUACUUCGACUCAAGAUCUGUAUUCAAAGAAGGAAAGCUUGCUUGAGGAGGUCAUUCCUGAGCCAAACCAGGCAAAGAAAAUGGAAAGAGCUUUCCAGGCAAAGGAAGUACUUGAAACAAAAUCCGAUGGCAUGAAUCAAUAUAGCCCAACUGUGCAGUCACAACUCUCAAUCAGUGGUCUUAAAAGUAUACCUACUAUCAAGUGGGGAUCAGCAGAAACACUGGCAGUAUGGGUGCCCGCACACUUGACAUCUUUUCAAAGUUUGGGAGUGUGUUCAGAUAAGAGGAAUCAGUGUGGUGGUACAUCUGGAAAUCAACUCCUGGGAAGAAGGAAUGAUACAAAAAUAAAGUCAUUGGCCUGGAGAAGAGCAGACUGCUGGAAGCUACAGGAGCUAUUAACAAGGAACAAAGGCUUUCCCCCGUUGCUCUCUAAAGCAGAUGAGAAAGCACUAGAUGGAGGCACAGAGCAACAGAUUUCUGAUUUCAACUCAAUGUACAAAAUACUUUUUAAUCUCUAGAACUGUUCAACAAUAGAACAACCUACCUUAAUGAAAUAAAUGUUUCUCUAUGUAAAUACACAGAGAAAAGCUGAUUAUAGAAAGGAGUCUAGAAUUGGGGGCAGGGGGACGAGGGGAGUUGGAGGAGAGCUGUAUCUGGGUUCUAAGAUUUCUUUGACCCCAACAUUCCCUGUCUUUCUAACACAUGAAGCAUCAGUAGAAAAGACAAAAAUGGUCAAAGCUUUAAAGUUUCACAGGUAAAUAAUUAUUCAGUAUAAUCUUGAUUUGAUAUUGAUUAAUGCCAUGUCUUUAGAUGCAGUUGGAAUCUGAGAAGCCUACUGUUUGUUGAGUACUGUUAGGGAACUGUACAAACCUCAGAGAGGGAAACACGUUCUAUGAUUAUAGCUCCAGGAGCCAGAACAGAUCAGCAGGUAACCUGGGGCCUAAACUCAGGAGUUCCUGCUCUUGUUUGUAUAGUAUACCAGGAAAAUACCAUGGUAAAUUCAUCAGAUUAAACACAUAGCAUUCCAUUUUUAGUUAUUAAAAAUGAAUGGCUCAAAUUUGCCUCAUUUAUUAGACUUUGGUUUCUUUAGGAUAAUUAAAGAAAACAAAGCACACAAAGGAACCAACAUGCAAGAGAGCUCAGAGUUAUGAGAAAUGGGGAGAGAGACAGAUCUGAGAACGAAUGUGAGCAGGGGCCAUAAUUGGGUCAGCAGGCCAAGGGUAAAGUUUUGGACUUUAUUCUCAGAUCAAGAUAACCUGGUUUAGGAGUUCCUGUUGUGGCUUAGUGGGUUACAGAAACGACUAGUAUCCAUGAGGACUCGGGUUCCAUUCUUGGCCUCGAUCAGUGGGUUAAGGAUCUGGCAUUGCCAUGAGCUGUGAUGUAGGUUGCAGACUCAGCUCUGAUUCAGUCCUAAAGGAACUUCUAUAAGCUGCAGGUCGCAGGUACAGCCCUGGAAAGCAUGCACAUGGGGAGAUGGGGGAUGGUGGGGGGGGGCGGGGGGGGGGAGAGUAGNNNNNNNNNNNNNNNNNUGAUUUUCAUUUCAAAAGAUCACUCUGGCUGUUGCAGGGAAAGUGCUUUCAAGGGAAAAAGUGGAAGCCAGAGACCAGGCAACAGUGAAUGUUAACCCCAGAGGGCCUGGCUAACAUGAAAGAAUUCAUUGCUAGUCAUUUGCACCCAGUGGGGAGUGGAUGGAACAGGAAGUGUCCUGCUGCCAACAGGGGAUGCUGCAGAAGGCAAUGAGGGGACACCUGGAGCCACAAACGGACACAGCUUCUACCCUCAAGAAGCUUGCUCUCUAGCAAGGGAUUCUGCGAUUGAGCAAAUAAUUUCAAGUAGAGACAACAGUCCACACACAGUGUGAUAGAGCAUAGAGCAGUGGCUUUGAGGUCAGAUGGCUCUGCAUUCAAAGCUCUGCUCUCUCAUUGUAGCUGUGUUACAUUCAUCAAGUUUCCCUCUCUCUGUGUGUCUGUCUGUCUCUCUCCACAGUCUGAUAUCUUCACCUAUUAAGGGUUAGUGAGAGGAUUAAAUGAGAUCCUUUUGGAAAAGCAUGUAACACUGGUAAAAAGGAGGUACUCAAUUCUAUUUGAUAAAUGCACAGAAAAACACAUCCCUUUUUCUCUGCCAUCUGUCUUCUUGUGCCCCUGCUGCCUUUCCAGGCAAUCAUUUUGGUUCUAACUUCCUGCCCCCCCCUUCAACUACUGAAUGUGGUACCAAUGGAGUCAACCCAGCUCACUAACUCUUUGCAUGUUGUUUGCCAGAAUCAGGAGAUGCCAAGUAAUGCAAAUUAAUUGUUUAUACUCCGUUUCCCAAAGUUGUCCUUUUUGAAAAUAAAUAAAAUAUUUUCCCCUCUAUCCCCCCUUUUACAACCAGGGAAUUGUAAAUAUACUAGAAACAGUACAUGGAGGAAUUAAUUUAUUUGAUUAAUGGAUACCCAAUUAUUAUGGUUAAGUUUAUUGUCUUAAACCACAGCUCCAUGGGGACAUUAAUAAAUGUGAUUGCUUUUGCUAG